rnacentral:misc_RNA from 1 species
AACGCACAUUGCGCCUUCUGGUAUUCCGGGAGGCAUGUCUGUUUGAGCGUCAGCAAAACCCUCGGUCUAACGGUUUGUUAACAAGCCGACUGACCGGUAAUGGGCUUUGGGAGCGGGCCUUCCGGUCUCUCCCUGCCUUAAACCUGCUGCACGACCGCAAGCAAUUGCAACGGUUAAUGGAGUGGUGUUACAUAUCUUCCAUACAAGCCUUAGCUACCGCUUCAGCGGCGUUAAACCUAUGUUGCUUAACCGCGACCGAACGUUUGACCUCAGAUCAGAUAAGGAUACCCGCUGAACUUAA